rnacentral:rRNA from 1 species
UACGUAGGGGGCAAGCGUUGUCCGGAAUCAUUGGGCGUAAAGAGCGUGUAGGCGGCCUGAUAAGUCCGCUGUGAAAUCUCGAGGCUCAACUUCGAGCUGUCGGUGGAAACUAUCUGGCUAGAGUCCGGAAGAGGAGAAUGGAAUUCCUGGUGUAGCGGUGAAAUGCGCAGAUAUCAGGAAGAACACCAAUGGCGAAAGCAGCUCUCUGGGACGGUACUGACGCUGAGACGCGAAAGCGUGGGGAGCGAACAGG